GAUUGAGGUAAGCUCAAAGAAGACAUAAAGGCUAUAUCCAUGUCAUUUUCCUCCGUGUGAUAAAUUGGAGAUUUCUUCAAAGUGAAGUAGGACUGAGGAAGAGUAGUUCUUGGCAUAUAAGGUUUAUCGUAUUAAUUGUGGAAGUUCUUGGAUGGACCGAGCUCUUGAACGACGUGAGGUACAGACGUUCGUUCAGGUAACCCGCCAGUGUAGGGUACUUAUUCUGCUGUUUGGAGUACUCCUUUUGCUCCGGAGCUCAUAUUUUUGGUACAUAUCUUUUGUGAUACAUGUUUCUGUAUAUUUGAUUAUUUGGGGUACGGCGGGGCCCUGUCCUGCCAUAUAAUUCUGUCCUGGUUUGUAGAGGCCUGUAGACAUA